GAACAAACAAGCAAACAAACUCAAAGGCACAGUUUUGAAGUAUGAAUUCAUAGUACCUUUGCAGCUCCAACUCGGCCAUUGAAAAAAACAUGUCCUUCUCAGGCUGGCUUUCCCCUCCACAGUCACAUGACUACGUCACUCAUACAUGCCCCUUCUGGCCAUUUCAACAUCAGUACAAGAAACUGUAGCUUUUACGCAAGGCAACGAGUUGCUUUCGGCCAUCUCAGCUUUCUCAUCCAGGUACCCAUGGCCCAAAGGGUGGUGAACACACCCUGCCCACUUGCUGCAUCGUUUGUAUCAAGUUUAGAAAAGCUGAGAAGAUGUGGCUUAAAACAAGAGCACCUUUUAUCUCCUGGUUGCUGUGGGUCAGGAAUCCCCUGCACAGCGCGGCUGGUUCCCCUGGCUGAGGGCCAUUCACAAGAUCCUUCAUUGAGUGCCUUUUACAGCAUCUGGACCCAGAAAUAUUCAAAUAACACUGGCUGGAUGAAUAAAUGAAUGAAAGAUUCCUCUGAUAACCCAGGAUUUCCCCUUGAGGCUGAAGACGGACCAGAACCCACAGUGUGCCUGUUUGUGCAGGAGUGAG